GACGGAGGAUGCAAGUGUUAUCCGGAAUCACUGGGCGUAAAGCGUCUGUAGGUGGUUUAAUAAGUCAACUGUUAAAUCUUGAGGCUCAACCUCAAAAUCGCAGUCGAAACUAUUAGGCUAGAGUAUAGUAGGGGUAAAGGGAAUCUCCAGUGGAGCGGUGAAAUGCGUAGAGAUUGGAAAGAACACCGAUGGCGAAGGCACUUUACUGGGCUAUUACUAACACUCAGAGACGAAAGCUAGGGUAGCAAAUGGG
rnacentral:rRNA from 1 species